rnacentral:rRNA from 1 species
UACAGAGGUCCCAAGCGUUGUUCGGAUUCAUUGGGCGUAAAGGGUGCGUAGGUGGCGUCGUAAGUCGGGUGUGAAAUCGUCGGGCUUAACUCCGAACUGCAUUCGAUACUGCGGUGCUUGAGGACUGGAGAGGAGACUGGAAUUUACGGUGUAGCAGUGAAAUGCGUAGAGAUCGUAAGGAAGACCAGUGGCGAAGGCGGGUCUCUGGACAGUUCCUGACACUGAGGCACGAAGGCCAGGGGAGCAAACGGG